UACGAAGUGGGCUAGCGUUGUUCGGAAUUACUGGGCGUAAAGCGCGCGCAGGCGGUCCUUCAAGUCAGAGGUGAGAGCCCAGAGCUCAACUCUGGAACGGCCUUUGAGACUAGAGGACUUGGGUACGGGAGAGGUGAGUGGAAUUCCGAGUGUAGAGGUGAAAUUCGUAGAUAUUCGGAAGAACACCAGUGGCGAAGGCGGCUCACUGGCCCGUUACCGACGCUCAGGCGCGACAGCGUGGGGAGCAAACAGG
rnacentral:rRNA from 1 species